UACGGAGACUGCGAGCGUUGCCCGGAAUUACUGGGCGUAAAGAGCGCGUAGGCGGCCUGUUAAGUCAGGUGUGAAAACUUAAGGCUUAACCUUAAGAUUGCACUUGAAACUGGUAGGCUUGAGGUCAGGAGAGGAAAGCGGAAUUCCUAGUGUAGCAGUGAAAUGCGUAGAUAUUAGGAGGAACACCAGUGGCGAAGGCGGCUUUCUGGACUGAUACUGACGCUGAGGUGCGAAAGCCAGGGGAGCAAACGGG
rnacentral:rRNA from 1 species